rnacentral:rRNA from 1 species
CUGGCGGCGUGCCUAACACGAUGCAAGUCGAGCGAGGAGAUCCUUCGGGAUGAUCCUAGCGGCGGACGGGUGAGUAACACGUGGGCAACCUGCCUCAUAGAGAGGAAUAGCCUUCCGAAAGGGAGAUUAAUACCUCAUAACAUUGCAGUUUCGCAUGGAACAGCAAUUAAAGGAGUAAUCCGCUAUGAGAUGGGCCCGCGGCGCAUUAGCUAGUUGGUGAGGUAACGGCUCACCAAGGCGACGAUGCGUAGCCGACCUGAGAGGGUGAUCGGCCACAUUGGGACUGAGACACGGCCCAGACUCCCACGGGAGGCAGCAGUGGGGAAUAUUGCACAAUGGGGGAAACCCUGAUGCCAGCAACGCCGCGUGAGUGAUGACGGCCUUCGGGUUGUAAAGCUCUGUCUUCAGGGACGAUAAUGACGGUACCUGAGGAGGAAGCCGCGGCUAACUACGUGCCAGCCGCCGC